CCCCCACGUCACAUCCUGUUUACGCAGAAAAUUCAUUGAGGCCACUUCUCAGUGCUUCCGCAUGUGUGUUUUUUUUCUUGCCAUUCACCAAGUUUUGUAUAUUUUGCUUAUUCAAUAUGGGUUCAAUAAAGUCAACAAACCAGCCUGGAAAGAAGGACUUGAACUUAGAGAGGAGAGGGAACCCAACCACACUUCCACUCCUCCCCGCGCCCUCCUCUGUAUGCCUGCGCUCCCUUCUUUGCCUCGUGACGGGACUUUGCGACGGCACGUGGUCUGCCAUUCGUGGAAAGCCAGGUUGGCAGCACUCAGCAACUGCAGCAAUGUGAGCAUGCUGGAUAUCGGUGUAGAGCUGAAGCAUUUUCAGCUGGGAGGAGCAUAGAUGUUGUAACAAUGGAUCCACUUGUUCAGGGUCUGGUACACAAAAAUGAUGUAUACAAAAAAAAUAUCCAAAUCAAAACAUAAUGUACUUUGCUGAAAUAACACUGCUCGUUAGUAGAGUUGUUUCACCUUCCUGUUGCAGAGCGCUGAGCAAGGAGCGCAUGAUGUUUGUGAGACACAAGACUGGGAUGUUCUUAUUAGACAGCAGAGACUCCAAAGCCUAGAAGUCAAACUAGACUUAGAAACAUGACUCCCAUGUCUGUGUAUGUUCUCGUUUGGAAUCCAUCCAUCCAUCCAUUUUCUACCGCUUAUCCCUUUUGGGGUUGCAGGGAGUGCUGAAGCCUAUCUCAGCUGCAAUCGGGCGAAAGGUGGGGUACACCCUGGACAAGUCGCCACCUCAUCGCAGAGCCAACACAGAUAGACAGACAACAUUCACACUUUCAUUCACACACUACGGCCAAUUUAGUUUUGCCAAUCAACCUAUCCCCAGGUGCAUGUCUUAGGAGGUGGGAGGAAGCCGGAGUACCAAUCAUACCUCUUUUUUCAUGGAGGAGUGCUUGAUAUCCAGCAGCACGUUUUUGGCUUCAUUCUCCAAAAUAUCUGAAAAGAAAAGAAAAGAAUAAAUAGUAAUGUUUUUCAAAGACCUAAAUCAGCUAAGUGAGUCUUACGGUCUCAAUGGAUGCUGUUGUGUCUUACCAGUUUCCACAUCGCUGCUCUUAAGUAUUGUUGUUAGUCUCUUUAAUAAAUGCAUAUCUUUAGCUCCUUCACUUUUCUUGUCACUGUAAUGAAGAUGGCCAUAUGUCAUUAACAUCAAACCAAAUGUAUUUCAAUGUAAUAAACAUGUCAUUGCUACGAA